rnacentral:snoRNA from 1 species
ACCAAUUCUGAAGGAUUUAUUGUUACUUUCAGUGUAAUGGCACGCCAGAUCAAUGGUGCGGUGAUCCUGAUUGAUGGUUGUUAUUCAGUACCAUUUGGUCUGGGAAACACCUCAUACAUUU